UACGUAGGGUGCAAGCGUUGUCCGGAAUUAUUGGGCGUAAAGAGCUCGUAGGCGGCUUGUCGCGUCGAAUGUGAAAACUCGGGGCUCAACUCCGAGCUUGCAUUCGAUACGGGCAGGCUAGAGUUCGGUAGGGGAGACUGGAAUUCCUGGUGUAGCGGUGAAAUGCGCAGAUAUCAGGAGGAACACCGGUGGCGAAGGCGGGUCUCUGGGCUGAUACUGACGCUGAGGAGCGAAAGCGUGGGGAGCGAACAGG
rnacentral:rRNA from 1 species